CACCCCUCGCGUGCCGUUCCCUCUCUCUCUCAAAAACUCCGCCGGCCGAAUCUUCACUCAAGCUCCACCAAUCUUCCCCUUGUCGGCAGAUCUUCCCUUCGCCGGCAGAUCAAGAGCUCUCACUCAAGCUCCGGAUUCACCUCUACCUCCCCAAACCCCUCCACCGGCUUCACCUCUACCUUCCCAACAUGCGACCCCUUCAUCAAAAUGGAAAAUCACAGUUUGUUGUUAAACAAAUUUUGGUAUUUUGUCCAUUGUUGGGUUUAUUAAAAUUUCUUGACGAUCACUGAUGAAAUUUGAAAACCUCUGUGUUCUGUUAGUACUUCUAUACCGGUAAUGGAUGUGUGUGAUGUAUGCUGGGCCUGUUGGCUGGUUCGGAGGAAAUGAAAGCGAGUUUGCUGUUGGUAUAAGAUCAGCUUUAGUGGGAAAGGGAUUUAGCACAAUAGUUUAUGCUGGUGUCGGGAUUGUUAACAAAUCUAAUGCAUACUCAGAGUGCGAAGAACUAGAUUUGAAGGCAUCCUAGUUCACAAAAUUGUUGCAAAGUCAGGAAGCUUGGCGCUCGCUAUCGAAGCAUAAAGAAUCGGACAAAGCCAAUGAAUAAUUCAACUUAUGAUGCUUAAUGGUGGAUCAUCUUCUGUUAUUACUUCUUCUGCAAUACUAUCCAAAUUUUGAAAUUCUGAAAUGAUAGGUGCGAGACGUGCUUGGUGAUGGGUGUCUUAUAAAGUGCCGUGUGCUUGAUGGAAGAGGUUUAAUAUGGACUUCAUCUUCUUCUUUCAUUUUUACUAUCUUUUUUCUGUAUUGUCAAAUUGGUUAUUUUGUAGUUUCCAUGAAGAGCUAUCAUUUUGAAAAUCAUACCAUGGUGUAUAAUAUUUUCUGUAUGUAUUCAAAUCUCUGAUGAUUGCAUCAUACUUUAUCUAUGAAUUUAGACUGACUGACGUUUGCAUAAUGUGCACAUGCAUUCCUUGAAGACAGGUACACUGUUCUGGAUUUAGCUAUAACAUUUUGCUUUAUUUUUUUUCUUCAGUGUAUGCUGCAUUUAUUAAAUUUUCUAACCUUUUGGAAAUAUUUAGGCGAGUGUCCUAUGGAUUGCCCUUUUCAUGAGAGUUUCCUAUGCAAUGCUUCUUGAUGAAGAAGAAAUUAUAUUUUAUGACACGAAGGUUGACAACCAUGGCGAGCCUUUGGAGUUCAGUUCUGGAGAAGGGCUUGUCAAGGCUACCCUCUCCGGCCAAUAGGAACAAAUUGAAGCAACACUGCGCUCUUCACUCAAUGUUUGUGAAGAAAAUGAGUCAAAAUCAAAGAGACUAAUCUUAGCAUUACACCACAAAGGUUUUUACACGAAACUAAAGCCAAAAAGUAAACCCUUACACAACUAGUCAGAAACACAGUGAACAAGCUCUCAUUAAUGCUAUAUAUAGUACAACAAUCAUGCAACCCUAAAGUUCCCAUUAACAAACAUUGAUUCUUAUACAAUCAAUGGUAAUAAACAAUGAACAGUCAGAAACAACUCUGUAUAGUAAAAAGUUAUUGUACCAGAAUUAUAUACAAUGAAUAAUCAAGAACUAACUCUGUACAAAUGACUAGUUGCAAACUCGCUCAUGGAACAAUCUAUCGACUACUACUCUUUUCUCCUUUUUAUGAUAUAUGUAGCACAAUGAGAAUUUGUUACCCUCCCGCUCCUUUUGUAGACGGUACUCAUGUAAGCCCAAUGUUCUCUGUUGGGAACUUUCCUCCCUCAGCUCAUAGGCGUAAUCGAAUCGAAAGCCAUCAGGAUUGACAUCAUUUAAUCUCCCCGACUUCCAAUAACCUGGAUUAGUUAUUCGAGUAUACCUAUUUGAAUCCUGAUGGUAAGAAUUGAAAAACAGUGUAGUUGUUGCAACCUCCUGGGUACUUGCAGAAUUGGGUGCCAAGACUGAUAGCUCGACAAAAAAGGUGUGAAAUAAAUAAGACAAACAGUAAUCAAGAAAUGCACAACCAAGAAAUGAAGACAGUUACACAAACAGAGCCAAAUUAUACUACGCUAAGCAAAGAUGUAUAAAUCAAGACAGGGAUAAUAUAGAGGCUUUCAAAAGAAAAUUUCAAGCACCUUAUACUCCCAAAUAAAAGAAAAACUCCCAUAAACCUAGUCUAGAAAUGAUAAUGCACAGUAUCUUAUUCAAACAGAACUAAGGGAAACAACAUAAAGAGUUAAAACGAUCGAAGCUAAAAGUCUCUUUGUCUAAAGUUGUGAAGCUUCUAAAGUUGAGAAAUUCUCAUAAUAAAGGCUGCCAAAGGAGAAAAUAAGGGAACCAGUUUAGGAUGUUCUUAUUCAUGUCUAGAUGUCCAAACAUAACUUUGUUUUACUUUGAUAAAUAUGAAUAUAAAUUGGAGGUCAGCACUAUAGUACAACGAGCUAUAGAAAUAUUGGUGCAUAUUUCUAUUAGUGGUGCAUAUCCAGCAUAAUGUUAGAAAAACUAAUAAAAAGCAACUAUAUUCAUAGCUGUCUAUUACCAAUUACAUUCAAAGUUUUACAUACAUGUCCCGCAAUCACAUCAGAUGUUGGGACAAACUAUCAAGACAGUGUACAAUAUUCAUAGCUGUCUAUUACACUAAGUAUCAAUUACAUUAACUAAACCAACUAUAUGGAGUUGGAUUCUACUACAGAGAGAAAGAGGAAGAAGUAAAGGAAAGAGUCAGUUCUACGCAUGUACCAAUAGGAACAAAUUCUCUUUCUCAGAUUAUGCUACUCUUUGUUCCGUUGAGAACUUUAGAAUUUUUUUUGAAGAGAUCGGGUCUAAUAACAUGGUCAUAGUUGUUGAAAAUGGUCUUAUGACAUGGUAACUAAUUGUAGUGGUUAGUAAUGAAGAAGUUAUUUGCAUAUACAAUUUAGUUGAGCUCGAGCUGAUAUAUGCGAGCUAGUCUCCAUUAAAAAAACCAAAUAAAACCCAUGAAAAUUUCAUAGGCCAUGAGAAAGGAUUACCAGGAUUUAGAAGUAGUUUAGCAGGACUUUUCAGGAAGAUAAAAUCCCAGUCUGGGAGGUUCCCUUCACCAAUCAUUCCCACAACAUCUUUCAGAAAACCCAGCCUUUCCUCAUCGUGAAGUGAGCCAUGCUUCACCUCACUCAUCCAACAUGGUAUCUGAAAAAAUUACAAAUUCAUUUAGUUUCUGAGACAUCCUAUUAUUUGCCUGAAUUUUAUCAUCAUUAAAAUAUUUAUCAUAACAAUAUUCAAAAAACAAAAAAUUCUAGAAAAAAACAUACAUCCAUUAGGACAUCCAUUGCAAUCUGAUUAAAUUCUCCCACUAAUUCAGGAUCCUCUCCUUCUUGUC